rnacentral:lncRNA from 1 species
GGCUGGUCAGGCAGUUUGCCAUGCAGGUGCCGGCAGGGCGGCUGCCCUACACACUCCAGAUCGAGACAGCCGUGCCUUUUUGCGAGCACUUGGUUCUCCCCCUUUAGGCGAUGUGGGAGAGGUCUGGCGGUUUUGAAAAGGACAGAGCGACAGUAUGUUUUUCUUUUUGAGUGAGCAAUCCCCUUCGCCCCGCAGGACUCGGACUGCGCCGUCAAACCGUCGAGAGGGGGGAGGGCAGCAGAGGGACGCUUUCCCAGAACUGCCAAUGAGACGACGCCCGGAAAUCACCUUGCCACGAGGACCUCGCAGACAAACGCGGAGAAGCUUUUCACAUUCACUGUUCCCGAAAGACGGAAGCUAAGCGCUUCUCCAACUUCCCCGCCCGAUUACACACUCUCGUGUGUCGCUUGCCCACUCCGCGCCGCAAACGCGGACCACACUGCGACUCCCGUUGUUUAAACUUGGUUUUUGCGUCGUUGAAAAAAGGACAAAACGGGAAGUGCCUGCGGCGCUCAUCGCCGUCCGAGGACGAUACCCAACUGUGUGGCAACUCGCAGGUUUUUUAAAAUUCAGCCUGGCAGCAGGCGCUCAGCCACAGAACGGUACAUGCAGUUGGACUUUCGUGCAGCUCUGCCUUCCCUCGCGCAGACACACAGGCGGGAGAGUACUAUUCUUCUGGUUCUUUCCGUUCCGGCAGCAAAGCGCCGAACACAUGCAAACCGCGCAUUCGCAGGACGGUGUUCGGUGGUACGUCCGAACAGGUUUUGCCCACUGCCGCGCGUUAUACGAAAUCGGCCGCUCCACGGAACCGGCUUGUCGGCAAUCUUUCCUCGAGGAGCGCAGCCCCUCGGGGAAGGCCGCCGUCUGUCAUCGUUCCCCAGUUCAGUUGUGGAAGGAGUCCAGUGCAAACGCCGUAGGCGAAUUUUUCUGUGAGUGCGCCCUCCCUAAUCCACUCUCUCAAGACGGAGCCGUUCAACAGAACUCCCCGUGACUUCAAGCUCGCGUGUACACUGGUUUUUUCCCUUUUGAACUGGGUCAUUGCUUUUGUGUGAUUUGGCGUAAGACGUCGCGAUGCCUGUUGCGCUAGGGAUCCUGUAGGUGUUCGAAGUCCAGGUUUGCUCACGCAGCCUCUCCGAACCCCGCACAGGAGACGGCAUAAACCGAGGUGUGCGCUCAGUGCUAAUGUUUCCGGUGCGGUGAAACGGUUCCCUG